rnacentral:rRNA from 1 species
GACGAACGCUGGCGGCAGGCUUAACACAUGCAAGUCGAGCGGCCCGGACGGGGUGCGGCAGGCGGGUGAGGUACGCGAGGGAACGUACACUCUGGUUUGGCACAACCCCGGGAAACUGGAGCCAACAGCGGACAGGGGCUAAUGCGGGAAGGGUGCUCGCCGAACGAUCGGGGCGCGUCAGAUUAGCUACGUGGUGGGGUAACGGCGCGCCAAGGCGACGAUCAGUAGCUGGGCUGAGAGGAUGAUCAGCCACACUGGGACUGAGACACGGCCCAGACUCCUACGGGAGGCAGCAGUGGGGAAUAUUGGACAAUGGGCGCAAGCCUGGUCCAGCCAUGCCGCGUGAGUGAUGAAGGCCUUAGGGUUGUAAAGCUCUUUUGUCCGGGAAGAUAAUGACUGUACCGGAAGAAUAAGCCCCGGCUAACUUCGUG